AGUGAACGCUGGCGGUAGGCCUAACACAUGCAAGUCGAACGGCAGCACAGUAAGAGCUUGCUCUUACGGGUGGCGAGUGGCGGACGGGUGAGGAAUACAUCGGAAUCUACUUUUUCGUGGGGGAUAACGUAGGGAAACUUACGCUAAUACCGCAUACGACCUACGGGUGAAAGCAUGGGAUCUUCGGACCUUGCGCGAUUGAAUGAGCCGAUGUCGGAUUAGCUAGUUGGCGGGGUAAAGGCCCACCAAGGCGACGAUCCGUAGCUGGUCUGAGAGGAUGAUCAGCCACCCUGGAACUGAGACACGGUCCAGACUCCUACGAGAGGCAGCAGUGGGGAAUAUUGGACAAUGGGCGCAAGCCUGAUCCAGCCAUACCGCGUGGGUGAAGAAGGCGUUCGGGUUGUAAAGCCCUUUUGUUGGGAAAGAAAAGCAGCAGGUUAAUACCCCGCUGUUCUGACGGUACCCAAAGAAUAAGCACCGGCUAACUUCGUG
rnacentral:rRNA from 1 species